rnacentral:misc_RNA from 1 species
GGGGGGGUGAGAGAAUCCAUCUAUGCAUAUGUAACAAUGUAACAAAAAUAAAUUUCUAAAAACAAAUAAAAGAGUAAUGGAUUAACACUAAUGAUGUUCCCUAAAACCAUGCAAACCACCAAAGAUAGAAGCCCAAGCUAAACCAUAUAACAAAGAAACUAAACAUUACCGAUGAAUUUAAAGUUGCAAAGCUGGCUGUUACAGCUCAUUCAUACUUCCUAAAUGAUGUAAAUUCAAGAAGUGCAUCCAAGUAGAAACAAAGCAAACACCAGUAGAUCUAAACUCCCAAAAUUGGUCAAUAAAUAAAAAUUUGUUUAUGCCCAUACAGUAAAGCAUCUAAAAUGGCAACAUGGAACAACAGAUAUAUAAGUUGAACAAACUAAGGCAAAAACAAAACUAAGGAAAAAGACUAAUAAAACCAAUAACAAAAAAUGAAACAGAACACUAUUUUCAUGCCAUCUCAAUACUACAAACCACCUUGCAAAUGCCUAUCCAAUUGAUAUAUAGCAAGCAUAAGUCAAAUGCAUAUCUU